rnacentral:rRNA from 1 species
GCGUCGACGGGUAGCCGGCCUGAGAGGGUGACCGGCCACACUGGGACUGAGACACGGCCCAGACUCCUACGGGAGGCAGCAGUGGGGAAUAUUGCACAAUGGGCGCAAGCCUGAUGCAGCAACGCCGCGUGAGGGACGACGGCCUUCGGGUUGUAAACCUCUUUUAGCAGGGAAGAAGCGAAAGUGACGGUACCUGCAGAAAAAGCACCGGCUAACUACGUGCCAGCAGCCGCGGUAAUACGUAGGGUGCAAGCGUUAUCCGGAAUUAUUGGGCGUAAAGAGCUCGUAGGCGGUUUGUCGCGUCUGCUGUGAAAACUGGGGGCUCAACCCCCAGCCUGCAGUGGGUACGGCCAGACUAGAGUGCGGUAGGGGAGAUUGGAAUUCCUGGUGUAGCGGUGGAAUGCGCAGAUAUCAGGAGGAACACCGAUGGCGAAGGCAGAUCUCUGGGCCGUAACUGACGCUGAGGAGCGAAAGGGUGGGGAGCAAACAGGCUUAGAUACCCUGGUAGUCCACCCCGUAAACGUUGGGAACUAGUUGUGGGGUCCAUUCCACGGAUUCCGUGACGCAGCUAACGCAUUAAGUUCCCCGCC